UUUUACAGUGUAAAAUUUUGUAUGGAGCACUGUCAAGUUUCAGUACCCUAUUUAGAGUACCACUUUUGCGUGCGAUGAAGCAAGCUAAAUAAUUCUUGUUUAAUAUAAUAAACAAAGAUAUAUUUCCCCGUUUAACGGAAGAAAAGGCGAUCGAACAUAUAUUUGAGUGAAAGAAUCAUUAAAUGAUGAAAAAUACACAAAAAAAAGUUUACGUUCGAACAUUACAUAAACUUAACAACAUCAUACUACGCAAUACAUCGAUGUAAUUUCUUUCUAAAUGUAUAAUAUUUCAGUGUCGUUUUCUCUACUAUAAAUAUAUUCGAUAUUAACAUAUAAAUAUAUAUAAAUGUGAAAUUUCGUUGUCCUAUCAGUUUUUGUUUUUAAAAUUUUUUAUUUUAUUUUCAAAUUGAUUUUAUUUUCCUAAUUAUUUUUAUAUUUCUAUGAUCUUAAUUCUCAAUAUCAAAUAAUUAUAAAUGUUGUAAGUCAAUGUUACGCUUGUGAUCCUAAAAAAUACAAAAACAAAACAAAAAAUAUAUGGAAUUCUUCUCUGGAAUUUGGGUGAACACAUACUAUUUUAACGAUAUGAUGAUAAAUGACCAACAAGUUAUGACAUAAAUCUAACACACUUAAUACGCCAUUUUUUUGGUUUAAAUAAUUUUUUAUAAUUUUUGGUAUAUUU